rnacentral:misc_RNA from 1 species
GAUGAAGAACGCAGCGAAUUGCGAUAUGUAAUGUGAAUUGCAGAUUUUCAGUGAAUCAUCGAAUCUUUGAACGCACAUUGCGCCCGCCAGUAUUCUGGCGGGCAUGCCUGUUCGAGCGUCAUUACAACCCUCAGGCCCCCGGGCCUGGCGUUGGGGAUCGGCGGAGCCCCCCGUGGGCACACGCCGUCCCCCAAAUACAGUGGCGGUCCCGCCGCAGCUUCCAUCGCGUAGUAGCUAACACCUCGCGACUGGAGAGCGGCGCGGCCACGCCGUAAAACACCCAACUCUUCUGAAGUUGACCUCGAAUCAGGUAGGAAUACCCGCUGAACUUAAGCAUAUCAAUAAGCGGAGGA